GUCCACGCCGUAAACGAUGAGUACUGGGUGUCGGGUAGUUGACCCUCCGGUGCCGUAGCUAACGCGUUAAGUACUCCGCCUGGGGAUUACGGUCGCAAGAUUAAAACUCAAAGGAAUUGACGGGGCCCGCACAAGCGGUGGAGCAUGUGGUUUAAUUCGACGCAACGCGAAGAACCUUACCUGGGCUAGACAACGGUGGACCUCCCCAGAGAUGGGGCUUUCCCUUCGGGGACUGCCGGUUCAGGUGCUGCAUGGCUGUCGU
rnacentral:rRNA from 1 species